AUGCAACAAUCAGCAAACAGAAUGGAAUGGUUCAUUUCCAUGACAACCCAGAAAAAUAUGACAAUCCUGCAGUACUCAGACACGUCGAGCAACAGAUGCAGCAUUGUAUCAGUCUAGAUGAGAAUCUAAAGAGCAUGGAUCAAGAAAUAGCUGUUAAUCCACAGUAUGUUCAAAAGAGCAUGGGAGUACGAGAAGACGAUGAAGUGAGCGGAGUCUUUGGAGGGAAAUAGGACACACUGUAUAGCUGGAUGUACAUAACCAUGGUGGAUUUGUGAACUGCAGGAAACAGGAAAACAAGAGAAUUACAUAACCUAUUUAUA